UACGUAGGGGGCAAGCGUUGUCCGGAUUUAUUGGGCGUAAAGAGCGUGUAGGCGGCUUUACAGGUCCGUUGUGAAAACUCGAGGCUCAACCUCGAGACGCCGGUGGAAACCGUAAAGCUAGAGUCCGGAAGAGGAGAGUGGAAUUCCUGGUGUAGCGGUGAAAUGCGCAGAUAUCGGGAGGAACACCGGUGGCGAAGGCGGCGACCUGGGUAGAUACUGACGCUGAGGCGCGAAAGCGUGGGGAGCAAACAGG
rnacentral:rRNA from 1 species